UCAUCCUGCUGCGCUGCUCAGUCCCUCCGCUGAAGGGACUGAGCGUAACCUUGGGUGAUGACGAGAGGGUGAGGAAAGGGCUCGAGAGCGAAAACCAGGGACAGAGUGACUGAGAAGAAUCAAGUUGGAUCAUUUAUCUUCAAUGAUACUGCAUUGAGACAGAGGGAACAUAAAUGCAGUUAAAAGGGAUCUUGAUAGCUAGUGAUUAAAAUCAUCUGGGGGAAAAAGUGCAUAGUUUUGAAAUGAGAUUCCACUGCUAGUGGGAAAUGCUAAAGUAUUGUAACUGCUUCUUUUAUUAUCUUCCAGAUCUUGGGCUACAUAGCCUGAUACUCCUUGAACAGCUCCAAAACUGGAAGAGUUGUGUCUUCCUCCCAUCUGUGAAUUUUGAGAGAGACAAGUUUUGACUAGUGCUGGCUUCAUUGAAAUCAGGAUAAAAUGAUGACGAAUUCAGCAUCUCUCUUAAUUUUAAGACAAGUUGUUAUUUUUACAAUUAUGUUUUAAAAAAAGGAAUAAAAAUAUUUAAUACGUAGCAGUGCGAGUAAGAAGCUGAAUCUUACUACCUGGCCUCAAUCAUAUAGUAAGAUUACUAAAGAUUAUUAUUGCAGAGCAAGGGUCAAUAUGCACUUGUGAAUAGUCAAUAUCACACAUAGGGAUAUAUUCAUCUUCUGUCUGUCGUUUUAAAAUAAGAUUCUUUAAUGGGUGUUCAGUGAGGUUGCUCUUCCCAAAGCAAACCUUCAUGGAAGAGCAGGAAAUUGCACUAGGUGGUUAGUGUAUAAAGUAGCUCAUUUUUGCUAGCUGUAGGGUACUGUAAAGUAUAAGCUGUUUUUAUUUAAACUAAACUAAUUUUAUUUAAAAUACCUUCUGUUCAUUUACUUGAAAGCUGUAUCCCCAGUCGCAAUAAGAAGAGUUUAAUGAGGUAGAAAUCCAUUUAAAAUGAGAGGGGGUUUCCAUAUAUAUUUGCAAUAUAAAUGGAUUGUUAAGUAAAAUGGAUUUUACUACAGUCUGAGCAAAUUAUGUAAUCAGACUAUAAAGGAAUAUUAAUAUAUAAGGAUAUUGAUUGUUUUUUUGGUGCAGGGCCAUUAUUUACACCAGGAUGUGAUAACGAACAUUUAUUCAUGUGCAAGUUUCAACACAAAUGCCUGUGAAACAGUACAUAGAAAAAAUUGUUUGACAUCAUCAUUUAUUCAUGGAUUCUUGGAGGAAUUAUGUAAUAUUUUCCUUGGGAAGCCAAAUUAAUUCACCACAUCUUGAAUUUUUUUAAUCUUAAGGGUUGAUCAUUAGAUUAAGGACCUCUCUUUGUACGCCAAAGAAUGAUAGUAAAUUUGUUGGUUAAAUUUUAGGUGUGAAUUUGAUUGUGGAUUUUGUAUAGAAAAACACUUCUUGGCAUCUAAAGAACAUAUCCAUGCAUAAAAUAUAUCGAUAUUUUUAUCAGUUACUAUAUAAAGACUUUUUUUUACAUGUUUUAGAUUUGACUUAGAAUAUUUCCUGUAUCCUCUCUGCUUGUUGUCACUGGAGCAGAAAGUAGGUAUUUUGGAAAUGGUACCCAGAAGAUAUUUGUGGUUAUUUUCACAUCACUUCUCUCAGAGGUGCAGAUUGCAGUCUUGCAAAUUUCAGUGGCCAUGUGUUUUUUCUUACUCUUUGUGUGAAUGGUCAUGUGUCUGAGUUCGAGAAGGGUUUAGACAACACUCUUAGGCACAUGGUGUGAUUCUUGGGGUGUCCUGCACAGGGCCAGGUGUUGGACUCAAUGAUCCUGAUGGGUCCCUUCCAACUCAGCAUAUUCUAUGAUUCUAUGCAUAUUUGGAAUGAAUUCUUUUGUCAAGAGUUGGUUGGAUACUGGGAGCUCUACCUAUGCAGGGACUUGGCUUUCUCCUGUUUGAUAAGAGGAUGAAAUGCUAGAGGUCUAUAAGUACCAAAACGAUCACAAGUGAUUGAAUUCUUCCCUAGUGAUGUUUUUUUUGUUGUUGUUAGGAUUAAGUUUGGUGUUCCAUACCAUUUGGCAGGGGCAGUAGUUGACUGGACCUUUGAAGGAACAAGACGUGUCUGGGAUGUUAUUCCUUUGUCUAUGGUGUCUGAAACAUCAAUACAAUACUGAAACAACAGGUCAAUCCCUCAAAGAAAUUAAAAAAAAAAAAGCAUAUCUUUAGUCCAAGAUGUUUAAGCUACCACAAGACAGCUCAGAAUGUUAGUGUGAUUUGGUUUUGAAGUGAUGUUUAUGAUCUUACAUCUUGAACUGAGGCAAGUCCUUCACUUUCGUUUGGAUGAUGAUCCAUUUUUCUUCUCUUUUUCUCGCAGUUAUUUUGCUUGUCUUUUUGAGCUACUUGCCUCAUCACAGAUAGCAUGAGUAGUUCCUUUGGCUCUUAUAUUUGGUGAUUAUUUUUUGUACCGUGUUUCUCAGUCUAGUUCAAGACCCAAUUAAGUUUUCUAAAUCCUCAGAAUUGUUAGCUGAAAUGCCAAUUAGCUGAAAGAGACAAGAUAUUGCUCAACAGUGAUGUAGCUGCAGAGAGGAUUAGCUGGUGAUGUUAGAAUCAUUUUACAGUCUGAGACACAUGAUGACUGUUUAGUACUGAAUUCUAUUCAAAGCACUGUCCAGACAUUAAGGUCAGAAAAACGUCUGCCUCCCAACCACCAUCCUCCUUCCUAGGAGGUAUUUAAAUAAGGAAAGCAAAGAGGGCAUAAAGAGUUUCCCUAGUACAAAUUAGGCAGCAGAAAUAAGAUGGAGUAGCAGUCCUGUCAGAGACCACAAGUAUUGCACAAUGCCUGUAUACAGCUACCAGAAAUGGCUCUUCCAGAGAAGACAUAUAGUAAAGACUGUCCCUUACUUUGCCUUCCAAAAUGACCUCCAGAUCUGUUUAGCAUUCAAAAUAACCAUUGCAGACUUCUGAGGUAAGAUGAUUGAGAGGAAGAGAUGAUAAUGUGAUUUUUAUUUGUCUGGUUUGCAACAUAGCUCUGAGGAAGCUUCUUCAACCCCAGUUCUGUGGCAUCAGAGUUGGUACACCUCUUUAGCUCUCCCAGCCGAGCUAACCUAAUGUUCCCACAAAGGACAGAAUUGUUUACAAGGAAAGCUGGUAUUCCUGUUGUGGAAGUAAAAUUCUGUGAUUUGAGCAGUUGAUUUUAUCUGUGUUUAAAGAAUGCAGCAAAAAUUGAAUACACUAUUAAAAAUAGAUUAGUGUUUUGUUUAGUCCUGCAUACAAUUACUAAACAGAUAUUGAAAUGUGUUAGAGUAAUCAAAAGUUAAUUAAAUAUAUGAACAAAAUAACUGAUUUGGUGUGAAUGCAGUCAGGUACAAUUUCUGUUUUUCUAUAUGAGAAGCAGAAUUUGGAUCUAUUAAGGGAAAAAAAGUAUCCAAAUAAGACACACAGUGUACUUGCUUACUUCAGGCCAGCUUUGAUCAAAGUCAGCUUCAGCUUCUUGUGCACUCUGUGGAGCUGCUGACCAUACAUCAGUGCAGAGCCUGGCACUGCUCUGGCAGCACAACAGGCAGUGGUUUCGCUUUGCUUCAAGCCACUGAGCUAACCCAUGCCUGACUAAACUAGAGGGGUGUUGCAAACUGGGUUCCUUCUGAUGGAGCAGGUAUUUAGAUUAGGCACGGUGGAGCACAGGUCGUACAUUCUUUAUUGUCCUAUUCAGGGUUGGUCUGGUGCAGACUCUGACUCCUCACCAAGUGUUUCUGCUGUGUUCCACAGCCCAUGUGUUAUUGGCCUCUGUUAUGCAUGGCCCCUGCCACAUAAAGGAAAUAAAAUCUGUUCUCUUCCCUGGA